rnacentral:misc_RNA from 1 species
GUGAAUCAUCGAAUCUUUGAACGCAAAUUGCACUCUCUGGCAUUCCGGAGAGCAUGCCUGUUUGAGGGUCAGUUAAAAUAAAAAGCGAGGUGUGGUUGUGUUGUGAUCUAUCGGAAUUGGGUUAUCUUUGACCUAUUAAAAAGUUUAAGUGACCUAACAUUGAUACCAGGAGCAUCUAAGACGUACAUAAGAAUAUUUUUUUAUCAGUCCGGAGCUGCCAACUUUUUAUUAGGAAUGACUAUGCUGUUUGUGGCAUCGUAACUAUAACAUAAUCA